UCAUUCAUUCCAAUAAUUGAUAUAGUACAUCAAAUCCAAAUACACAUUCAACAUCGCUAAAAACAAAAAGGAUGAAUCUGCGAACAAACUCACAGCAUCCGUGUUAGUAGCAUACAUCGGCAAAAUGCCUACAAAUAAUAAUAUGAUAAAACUAAAGUCACCGAAAUAUCCAUGUUUCCGGAUCUGCAACGUUGAUGCCCAAAUCAUUGAUUGAAUCUGCAAUUGAUUGAAGAUGAUCUUUCAAUAUGAACUAAACGAACACCGUAACAAGACGGAGAAUUCAACAACGUCGUACCAAGAUGACGGUCAACACAAACGCCGCACUCAGACGACAUCACACAAAUAAAAAAGAAAAACAACUAAAAAACUUAAUCUAUGUAAAAAAUCACUUAUUUAGAUUGAAAACAACAAGAAAAAAGGUGAAGAGGAGUGAUUUUAGGCCAAAUAUGACCUAAAAUCACCCCUAACUAGUAGAGGAAGAAGAAACUCAGAGAAAAAGAAAAUAGGGCCGGCUAGAGAAAGAGAAG
rnacentral:lncRNA from 1 species